UUGUGAAUUUUCUUUCUGCUUUGAUUUAGCAAUAAAAAGGACAGGUUAACCAUUUGCUAUGUUGAGAGUUUGUAAGAGUCCCCAAUUCUUUCUCUAUUUCUGGUUUUAUAAAUGCUGGAGAGAG